rnacentral:rRNA from 1 species
AUUUAUCCGGGCGGGGUUGUGGGACCUUAAUGUGGGAGAUGAAAAACGAGCUUAAUGCAAUGGAAACUGCAGCCAAAGACCGUGAAAGCCGGGUGAGCGAAGUUGGAAGUCCCCUAGAGGCAUCCCAAGUAACGCGGUGCACGUGAAACUCUGCGUGAAUCUGUCCAGACCACUGGAUAAGGCUAAAUACUCGUUGGCAACCGAUAGUGGACAAGUACCGCGAGGGAACGGUGAAAAGAACCCCUGUUAGGGGAGUGAAAUAGAACCUGAAACCGAUUGCAUACAAUGUGUGGGAGCUGCCGCAAGGUGGUGACCGCUUGCCUUUUGCAUAAUGAGUCUGCGAGUUAUUGUCGGUGGCAAGCCUAAGUUCUAAUGGAACGGAGGCGAAGGGAAACCGAGUGCGAAUAGCGCGAAUUAAGUGGCCGGCAAUAGACCCGAAGCGGAGGUGAUCUACUUAUGAGCAGGUUGAAGCUGCAGUAACAUGCAGUGGAGGACCGAACUCGUGGAUGUUGAAAAAUCCUGAGAUGACUUGAGAGUAGGAGCGAAAGACUAAUCAAACCCCGUGAUAGCUGGUUCUCUCCGAAAUAGUUUGAGGGCUAGCGUUGGAACAAGUACUCCGAGGAGGUAGAGCACUGGAUGGCUUAGGGACCCCACCAGGUUGCCAAAACCAAUCAAACUCCGAAUUCCUCGGAUCCCAUUAUUCCAGCAGUCAGACGGCGAGGGAUAAGCUUCGUCGUCAAGAGGGCAACAGCCCAGACCAACGGCUAAGGCGCCUAAAUACAGUUAAGUGGAAAGGAUGUGACGUUGCACAGACAGUGAGGAUGUUGGCUUAGAGGCAGCCAUCAUUUAAACAGUGCGUAAUAGCUGACUCAUCGAGCGAUGUCGCGCCGAAAAUGAUUGGCGAUUAAACUGUAUGCCGAAGCUUUGGAUGCGUAGCAAUACGCGUGGUAGGAGAGCGUUCUCUAAGCAUUGAAGCCGAACUGAAAAGGAUGGUGGAGUUUAGAGAAGUGAGAAUGCAGACAUGAGUAGCGAUAAACCAGAUGAGAAUUCUGGUCGCCGUAAACCUAAGGUUUCCUGGGCCAGGUUCGUCCCCCCAGGGUUAGCCGGGAGCUAAGAUGAGGCCGUAAGGCGUAAUCGAUGCACAGCAGGUUAAAUAUUCCUGCGCCAGCUAGGUUAAGGUUGGAGAUGACGCAUGGGAAGACAUCAACUAGGCAAUCGAAUGCUGAGCUUAGGCUUCGGCCGAAGCGUAUUGGUGGGUUCCUGUGCCGAGAAAAGUUUCCAACUGUUCCCGACGCUGCCCGUACCGUAAACCGACACAGGUGGGUGAGUGUAAGCGCACUCAGGCGCGCGAGAGAGACCUCUCUAAGGAACUCGGCACAUUAGCCUCGUAACUUCGGGAGAAGAGGUGCCCUUCGCAAGAAGGGUCUCAGUAAAUUGCGUUUAGCGACUGUUUAACAAAAACACAGCACUCUGCAAAGUCGUGAAGACGACGUAUAGGGUGUGACACGUGACCAAUGCGGAAAGAUCAAACCAUGAGGUUAGCCGUAAGGCGAAGCUUCGUGGCCAAGUCCCCGUGAAUGUCGGCCGUAACUAUAACGGUCCUAAGGUAGCGAAAUUCCUUGUCGGGUAAGUUCCGACCUGCACGAAUCGUGUAACGACUGAACGACUGUCUCGGAGAGGAUCUCGGCGAAAUUGUAACUGCGGUGAAGAUGCCGCAUGCCCGCAGUAGGACGGAAAGACCCUAUGCACCUUUACUGUAAGCUCGUAUUGUGUUCUGAUUAAUUAUGCGUAGCGUAGGUGGGAGACUUUGAAGGGAGUGCUUCGGUGCUCUUGGAGUCGCAAUGUGAAACACCACUCUUAGCUAAUUAGGAUUCUAACCCCAUGCUGUAAGCCAGCUGGGGGACAGUGCGUGCAGGUCAGUUUGACUGGGGCGGUUUCCUCCCAAAUGGUAACGGAGGAGCGCUAAGCUUGGUUCAGCAUGGUUGGCAACUAUGCGUUGAGGGUAUGGCUAUAAACCAGGUUAACUGUGAGACCCACAAGUCGAGCAGGUACGAAAGUAGGCCCAAAUGAUCCGACGGUUUAAUGUGGAAUUGCCGUCG